GACGAACGCUGGCGGCGUGCCUAAUACAUGCAAGUCGAGCGCAGGAAACUGACGGAACUCUUCGGAGGGAAGGCAGUGGAAUGAGCGGCGGACGGGUGAGUAACACGUAAGGAACCUGCCUCAAGGAUUGGGAUAACUCCGAGAAAUCGGAGCUAAUACCGGAUAGUUAAACGGACCGCAGGGUCCGCUGAUGAAAGGCGCUCCGGCGUCACCUUGAGAUGGCCUUGCGGUGCAUUAGCCAGUUGGUGGGGUAACGGCCCACCAAGGCGACGAUGCAUAGCCGACCUGAGAGGGUGAUCGGCCACACUGGGACUGAGACACGGCCCAGACUCCUACGGGAGGCAGCAGUAGGGAAUCUUCCACAAUGGACGAAAGUCUGAUGGAGCAACGCCGCGUGAGUGAUGAAGGUUUUCGGAUCGUAAAACUCUGUUGUAAGGGAAGAACACGUACGAGAGGAAAUGCUCGUACCUUGACGGUACCUUACGAGAAAGCCACGGCUAACUACGUGCCAGCAGCCGCUGUAACAC
rnacentral:rRNA from 1 species